CAGUGGCGCCCGGCGGGGCCCGGCGGGACUCACGGCCCGGCGCGGGGGACCGCGGCCAUCGGCGGAGCCCGGCCCCGGAGCGGGGCGCGGGGAGCUGCUGAGGAGCGGUGCUGGAGUCGCGGAGCCCGAACGCGGAAGGCUUUUUCCCGGCCGCCUCCUUUUUCAUUUUGAAUCAAGUAUAGUGAUGGAGGAAGGUGUUGUGUCUGUGUUUGUUUUCAAGUGGAAGAAGGUUGGCAGCAGCAUUUGGAACACACGGCAUAAGUCUGGGAACCGGGCCUUACAGCCAUCAUAAAGAAGUGAGAUUCAGCUUCCAAGAAGAGAAGAAAGUAAAGAGAUAUAAUUGGAUUGAUGCUAUUAUUCAAGUCAGCAAAAAGCCCUUGUCACAGAAUCACAGAAUCACCAAGGUUGGAAAAGACCUACAAGAUCCAGUCCAACCAUCCACCUAUCAUCAAUAGUUCUCACUAAAUCCUGUUCCUCAACAUUUUGUCUUUCAAAAAGUUUUGUCAAGGAUUUGUUUUUAAAUAAAGGCAGGCAAAAUAAA